UGGUACUGGCAGCAACAGCUGCUGCUUGGCUCUGAAAGCAGCUCUCUGCCCUUCUUUGGUGACCAAGAGAUGGAUGAGAGACAUUCCAACAACCAAGAUGAUCCAAGAUAAGUUCGGGAAACGAAGGAUUUCCUGAGGAGGAAAUGGAAGGUGCCAUAUUUCAGAGCAUUAUGAAAAAAAAUUACAGGCACAUAAAUCUAGGAGGAGAUAGCUUCGGCUCCACCAUAAUGGAUGAUGAAAGGUCAACUCUAGUAGCCCUGGAGAAGAACUGCAACCUUGGGCAGAACUUCUGUCAAUCCACAUAGUUGAAGAGGGUGAAGCCCAUCAUGCCCUUUGGCACCAGAAACAUUGAGA